CUUCCUUAUAGUUAAUAGUACAUACUUGUACUGACAUUAAAAAGAUAAGCAUUUGAAUAAAGAGGGGACAGGAACAUCCUGAGGUCGAGCGAGGUCAUACAUCCUGUAGAAGUGAGGCCUCUCAGAGCAUGUUACAGAAUACAUCUGCCAAAGUCAGCAUAAUUAUUUCAAACAUUAUUUUAAAGCAUAUAAUGCAAAAAGAGUUAACUACUUCAUAUCCUUACACUGCAUAUGCUGAUAAUUUAAAUUCUAAGUUAUUUAUUUUUAUUCCUUUUAUGUUAAUUUCCUGUCUUAUUUUCUGAAGCAAAGGUUCUAAGGUUAAGAUACACACCAUUGGAGCAAGGGGACAGCCUUGCCUAGUGCCGUUAUUCAUUUUAAAAGUAUUUGUUGAGAAUCCUUGACCUGAGAUUAUUGCAGAUGGAGUGGAGUAUAGUGCCAUUAUGACAUCUGUUAUUAACUUACCAAAGUUAAACUCAUUCAAUACUUAAUUUAGGAAUUGCCAGCUGACCCUGUCAAAGGC